rnacentral:rRNA from 1 species
CUACGGGCCGCUGCAGUGGGGAAUAUUGCACAAUGGAGGAAACUCUGAUGCAGCAACGCCGCGUGGAGGAUGGCACUUUUCGGAGCGUAAACUCCUUUUAUAUAGGAAGAAGAUGACGGUACUAUAUGAAUAAGCGCCGGCUAACUCCGUGCCAGCAGCCGCGGUAAUACGGAGGGCGCAAGCGUUACUCGGAAUCACUGGGCGUAAAGAGCGUGUAGGCGGAUUAAAAAGUCAGAAGUGAAAUCCUAUAGCUUAACUAUAGAACUGCUUCUGAAACUCUUAAUCUAGAAUAUGGGAGAGGUAGAUGGAAUUUCUGGUGUAGGGGUAAAAUCCGUAGAGAUCAGAAGGAAUACCGAUUGCGAAGGCGAUCUACUAGAACAUUAUUGACGCUGAGACGCGAAAGCGUGGGGAGCAAACAGGAUUAGAUACCCUUGUAGUC